rnacentral:rRNA from 1 species
UACGUAGGGUCCGAGCGUUGUCCGGAGUUACUGGGCGUAAAGCGCGCGCAGGCGGCGGUGUUGGCCCGGCGUGAAAGCCCCCGGCUCAACCGGGGAGAGUCGUCGGGGACCGCACCGCUUGAGGGCGGUAGGGGCUGGUGGAAUGCCUGGUGUAGUGGUGAAAUGCGUAGAGAUCAGGCAGAACACCUGGGGCGAAGGCGGCCAGCUGGGCCGUCCCUGACGCUGAGGCGCGAAGGCGUGGGGAGCGAACGAGG